rnacentral:rRNA from 1 species
GUGCCCCUUAGUCUGGGAUAGCCACUGGAAACGGUGAUUAAUACCGGAUACUCCUUCUCUNAUUAAUNUAGAGUUGGGAAANCUUUUUGGCUAAGGGAUCGGCCUAUAUCGUAUCAGCUAGUUGGUGAGGUAAUGGCUCACCAAGGCAAUGACACGUAGCGGGUUUGAGAGGAUGAUCCGCCACACUGGUACUGAGACACGGACCAGACUCCUACGGGAGGCAGCAGUGAGGAAUAUUGCACAAUGGGGGAAACCCUGAUGCAGCAACGCCGCGUGGAGGAUGACGCAUUUCGGUGUGUAAACUCCUUUUAUCAGAGAAGAAAAUGACGGUAUCUGAUGAAUAAGCGCCGGCUAACUCCGUGCCAGCAGCCGCGGUAAUACGGAGGGCGCAAGCGUUACUUCGGAAUCACUGGGCGUAAAGGACGCGUAGGCGGGUUUUUAAGUCAGGUGUGAAAUCCUAUGGCUCAACCAUAGAACUGCACUUGAAACUGGGGACCUAGAGUAUGGAAGGGGCAGGUGGAAUUAGUGGUGUAGGGGUAAAAUCCGUAGAUAUCACUAGGAAUACCGAAAGCGAAGGCGACCUGCUGGGACAUUACUGACGCUGAGGCGUGAAAGCGUGGGGGAGCAAACAGGAUUAGAUACCCUGGUAGUCCACGCCCUAAACGAUGAAUGCUAGUCGUCGGGGAGCUUGUCUCUUCGGUGAUGCACUUAACAGAUUAAGCAUUCCGCCUGGGGAGUACGGUCGCAAGAUUAAAACUCAAAGGAAUAGACGGGGACCCGCACAAGUGGUGGAGCAUGUGGUUUAAUUCGAAGAUACGCGAAGAACCUUACCUAGCCUUGACAUUG